GAGCAAGGGCAUCUCAUGCCAAAAUAAAUGGUGCAUCUUGCCUUGAAGGUUGGCAGAAGUAACUGGCGGUUCUCCGUGCCUAUUAAAUUAUGCCAUUUUGAUGAUGGCCUCGAACAAGCUGCAACAUC